AACGAACGCUGGCGGCAUGCCUAACACAUGCAAGUCGAACGAGACCUUCGGGUCUAGUGGCGCACGGGUGCGUAACGCGUGGGAACCUGCCCUUAGGUUCGGAAUAACUCCCCGAAAGGGGUGCUAAUACCGGAUAAUGUCUUCGGACCAAAGAAUUAUCCCCUUUGGAUGGGCCCGCGUUGGAUUAGCUAGUUGGGAGGGUAAAAGCCUACCAAGGCGACGAUACAUAGCUGGUCUGAGAGGAUGAUCAGCCACACUGGGACUGAGACACGGCCCCGACUCCUACCGGAGGCAACCGUAGGGAAUAUUGGACAAUGGGCCAAAGCCUUAUCCCGCCAUGCCGCGUGAGUGAUGAAGGCCUUCGGGUUGUUAAUCUCUUUUUCCCGGGAUGCUUAUUACCGUACCGGGAGAAUAAGCUCCGGCUAACUCCGUG
rnacentral:rRNA from 1 species